rnacentral:rRNA from 1 species
CUGGGCUUGACAUGUUCCUGACAGCCGUGGAAACACGGUCUCCCUUCGGGGCAGGAUCACAGGUGGAGCAUGGCUGUCGUCAGCUCGUGUCGUGAGAUGUUGGGUUAAGUCCCGCAACGAGCGCAACCCCCGUCGCAUGUUGCCAGCAUUUAGUUGGGGACUCAUGCGAGACUGCCGGUGACAAACCGGAGGAAGGUGGGGAUGACGUCAAGUCAUCAUGCCCCUUACGUCCAGGGCUACACACGUGCUACAUUGGCGCGUACAGAGGGCUGCGAUACCGCGAGGUGGAGCGAAUCCCCUAAAGCGCGUCUCGGUUCGGAUUGCAGGCUGAAACCCGCCUGCAUGAAGGCGGAGUUGCUAGUAAUCGCGGAUCUGCAAUGCCGCGGUGAAUA